GAGUAAGACCAAGCGGCGGACGGGUGAGUAACGCGUGGGUAACCUGCCCUAUACACAUGGAUAACAUACUGAAAAGUUUACUAAUACAUGAUAAUAUAUAUUUACGGCAUCGUAGAUAUAUCAAAGUGUUAGCGGUAUAGGAUGGACCCGCGUCUGAUUAGCUAGUUGGUGAGAUAACUGCCCACCAAGGCGACGAUCAGUAGCCGACCUGAGAGGGUGAUCGGCCACAUUGGAACUGAGACACGGUCCAAACUCCUACGGGAGGCAGCAGUGGGGAAUAUUGCACAAUGGGCGCAAGCCUGAUGCAGCAACGCCGCGUGAACGAUGAAGGUCUUCGGAUCGUAAAGUUCUGUUGCAGGGGAAGAUAAUGACGGUACCCUGUGAGGAAGCCCCGGCUAACUACGUGCCAGCAGCCGCGGUAAUACGUAGGGGGCUAGCGUUAUCCGGAUUUACUGGGCGUAAAGGGUGCGUAGGUGGUCUUUCAAGUCGGUGGUUAAAGGCUACGGCUCAACCGUAGUUAGCCUCCGAAACUGGAAGACUUGAGUGCAGAAGAGGAAAGUGGAAUUCCCAGUGUAGCGGUGAAAUGCGUAGAUAUUGGGAGGAACACCAGUAGCGAAGGCGGCUUUCUGGACUGCAACUGACACUGAGGCACGAAAGCGUGGGUAGCAAACAGGAUUAGAUACCCUGGUAGUCCACGCUGUAAACGAUGAGUACUAGGUGUCGGGGGUUACCCCCCUCGGUGCCGCAGCUAACGCAUUAAGUACUCCGCCUGGGGAGUACGCACGCAAGUGUGAAACUCAAAGGAAUUGACGGGGACCCGCACAAGUAGCGGAGCAUGUGGUUUAAUUCGAAGCAACGCGAAGAACCUUACCUAAGCUUGACAUCCCUUAGACCGGUGUUUAAUCACACCUUCCCUUCGGGGCUGAGGUGACAGGUGGUGCAUGGUUGUCGUCAGCUCGUGUCGUGAGAUGUUGGGUUAAGUCCCGCAACGAGCGCAACCCUUGUCUUUAGUUGCCAGCAUUCAGUUGGGCACUCUAGAGAGACUGCCAGGGAUAACCUGGAGGAAGGUGGGGAUGACGUCAAAUCAUCAUGCCCCUUAUGCUUAGGGCUACACACGUGCUACAAUGGGUGGUACAGAGGGUUGCCAAACCGUGAGGUGGAGCUAAUCCCUUAAAGCCAUUCUCAGUUCGGAUUGUAGGCUGAAACUCGCCUACAUGAAGCUGGAGUUACUAGUAAUCGCAGAUCAGAAUGCUGCGGUGAAUGCGUUCCCGGGUCU
rnacentral:rRNA from 1 species